GGUGAUAGUCAGCUGCUUUGGGGUAUUGUAUUUUUAUGUUGUUUAUUUGGAUUUCUAAUUAGUAGGCUGACUUUUGCACCUUUGUAAAUGAAGUAUUCCACAGUAAUCCUAGAUGGCAUGACCUGCCACGUAUGAGAAUUUGACUCAGUAAUAAGUGAGAGUGAAAGCUGUCUGGCUGCGCUGGCUGCACACUGAGAACUAGUAGUAACAUUCUUCUGUGGGGCUUUGAAGAAGAGUGUUUUAAUUAGGCAGCGUGCAUGUUCCUCAAAGUACAAAAUACGAUGCAUUUGCUCAAAGAAGGUAAGAAAUUCAAAUCAGUAAACUGUGAUUUUUCUAUGGCACUUAAAAGGGAGUAGAUGUGAAAUCUGUAUUACAGAUGAGUUUGUUCUCUCCCUGCAGUAGAUACAUCUGAAUCUUUGAUGUAUUUAAUACUUGAAGACAGAUUGUCCAGAGUACAUAAACUCUUUCUUCUGACCCCUUGUCUUGCCUAGUGAGUGUUAGGCUUUGAUGACAAAUACCGUGUGUCACGCCAUCACGCCCAGCUCAGUCCUUUUAAAGGCACAGCAAGGGCUGUAGCCGUGGUGAUCUGCUGAGAUAAACAGGGUGGGGCCAGAAAGCAGAAAUGACAUUGAAUUGACUUGCGUAGCAAGGAAGUGGGAGGGAAAAAAAUGCAGAGCUCAGUUUUACUUUAUCAAACUUUCAAGGUUGUGUCUGCAAUCAUGAAGUUAGAGUUUGGGCUUUUAUUUAUUUACUAAUGUCGGCUGAGGUUCUGGAGAACUGCGUAGCGACCAGGGAUGGAUCCUUAGGGCAUUCUGUGCAAUCACAGAGUAUCAGGGCUGCCGUGCUAGUGCAUGCAGAAAUCAUGCAGUCACAUCUAGAGUGCAGGCUACACCUGUAACUUUUCUCACAGCUGCCUACCGAAAUAUUUCAGUCUACUCCGUGGAUGUGUGCUCUAGAUUCUUUCAAAGGAUAUAUUAUUCCGUUUCAAACAGCUGUUUUCUGUCUGUGUAUUUUUAGCACCUUUUGCCUUUUCAAAGCGCAUCCCCUUCCUGCUGGGAUGUAGGUAAACAGGCUUUCUGUUGCACAGACCAACCCCAGGGUAAUUUGUCAUGCUCAUUGACUGCCUUUUGGUUCCCUGAUUUCCUUCUUGGUUUUCUCUCUAAUGAACUCUGUUUGCUUAAGUUAUACAGCUCUCUUUCCAAAGCAGAACUCUUUUUUUGUAAAAAUCACAUCCUAACUAAUUCUACAUCAGUCAUUGUUGGUGUCUACUUAUGAUUUCCAGCUGUUCUGCCCAGUAAAAAAAAUUCUUUUUGGAACAUACUUCUACCUACGUUCUGUUGCUGAUAUUUCUCCAACUCGAGUUCAAUAACAGAUUUCUUUCUCAAAGGAAGCAACUAUUGUGCAUGUAAAGGCAUGAUAGGUCUUACUUCAAUGUUAAGCAGUUCCUGCAUCCUCAUGUCUGUGUCUAUUUUGCACAUUCCUUUUUUAAUCUCUAAACUUUCCUGGAAUUAUUUGGCAGCUGGUGGUUCUGCCCACCUAUUGAAAUUGAAUUAACAGAGCUUUCUUUGCAGUAAUAAAAUCAUCAGCCGCUCAUUUUUAUAUCUUCGAUAGUUUCCUCUAAAAUCUGCUAACAUUUUAUCA